GACGAACGCUGGCGGCGUGCCUAACACAUGCAAGUCGAGCGGGGAGGAGGAAGCUUGCUUCCGAAUCCUAGCGGCGGACGGGUGAGUAACGCGUGAGCAACCUGCCUCUUACAGGGGGAUAACGCAUCGAAAGAUGUGCUAAUACCGCGUAAGACCACAGUACCGCAUGGUACAGGGGUCAAAGGAGCAAUCCGGUAAGAGAUGGGCUCGCGUCCGAUUAGCUAGUUGGUGAGAUAAAAGCCCACCAAGGCGACGAUCGGUAGCCGACCUGAGAGGGUGAUCGGCCACAUUGGAACUGAGAAACGGUCCAGACUCCUACGGGAGGCAGCAGUGGGGAAUAUUGGGCAAUGGGCGAAAGCCUGACCCAGCAACGCCGCGUGAGGGAAGAAGGGUUUCGGCUCGUAAACCUCUGUCCUAUGGGACGAAGAAGUGACGGUACCAUAGGAGGAAGCCCCGGCUAACUACGUG
rnacentral:rRNA from 1 species